CCUACGGGAGGCUGCAGUGGGGAAUAUUGCACAAUGGGCGCAAGCCUGAUGCAGCCAUGCCGCGUGUGUGAAGAAGGCCUUCGGGUUGUAAAGCACUUUCAGCGGGGAGGAAGGCGGUGAGGUUAAUAACCUCAUCGAUUGACGUUACCCGCAGAAGAAGCACCGGCUAACUCCGUGCCAGCAGCCGCGGUAAUACGGAGGGUGCAAGCGUUAAUCGGAAUUACUGGGCGUAAAGCGCACGCAGGCGGUCUGUCAAGUCGGAUGUGAAAUCCCCGGGCUCAACCUGGGAACUGCAUUCGAAACUGGCAGGCUAGAGUCUUGUAGAGGGGAGUAGAAUUCCAGGUGUAGCGGUGAAAUGCGUAGAGAUCUGGAGGAGUACCGGUGGCGAAGGCGGCCCCCUGGACAAAGACUGACGCUCAGGUGCGAAAGCGUGGGGAGCAAACAGGAUUAGAUACCCGAGUAGUC
rnacentral:rRNA from 1 species